rnacentral:misc_RNA from 1 species
UACUCUCACACUCUCUAAUGCCUUGCAUUAGGAGCGGUGGACUUGGGUGUUGCUGCUUCACGGUGGCUCACCUGAAAUGCAGUAGUGCACCUCCUGGUUGGACAUAGUACGGCGUGAUAAGUGUCUUCGCCGGCGCCUCGAAAGAGGGUGGCCGAUUGGGAGCUCUGGGCUUCUAACUGUCUUAGGACACUCUCUGACA